GAGGAUGGAGACCCCAAUAGUUUACCUGUUGACCUGUCCCUGGGCACCAGUGAGACGAGUGUGGCUGUAUCUCCUCCAUUCCCUGCCAUCAGGUACAUCACAGGCACUGUGACAGCAUGAGGCAGCAGAAGAUUCAAGUUGUAUCAAGAGAAUCAGCCUGGGAACCAGCUGGAUGGCAUGUUAUUUUCUUAGAAAUGGAGUUGGCCGAAGAUUCAAUAAAGACCUGGUGGAAUGCUUUAAUCAGGAGCUGAGAAUAAGGGAAAGAUGCCUCUUGUAACAGCAGCAAAUCUGGCCCAGAGCCUUUCUCAAGAGGAGCCUUGUUUUUGGCUUCAUCCUCCUCCACAUCAUGUGUCAGCUCUGGCACCAGCUCAGCGUGACAAGCAACUUCUAAAAUACAUAGCCAAGCUCACAGAUCCUCCCCUUGCAUGUGCUGGGAUAAACUUUAGAGAAAAUCUUUCCAGUGCCUCCCCUAGCAGAUGUUCCUCUUCACACCCUGUGCAUGCAGGACCCUCCUGAAGAUCAGCCUGGGGAAGCUCAGAAGUACAGAUUAAUGAUGUUCAAACUUUCCUCUGACCUUCUUAAAGGCACAUUUGAAAUUAUAUGUUUCUCAUUCCAGCUUUGGGUAGUGCUAUAU